GAUGAACGCUAGCUACAGGCUUAACACAUGCAAGUCGAGGGGAAACGAUAGAGAAAGCUUGCUUUUUCUAGGCGUCGACCGGCGCACGGGUGAGUAACGCGUAUCCAACCUGCCCAUCACUUGGGGAUAACCUUGCGAAAGUAAGACUAAUACCCAAUGACGUCUCUAGAAGACAUCUGAAGGAGAUUAAAGAUUUAUCGGUGAUGGAUGGGGAUGCGUCUGAUUAGCUUGUUGGCGGGGUAACGGCCCACCAAGGCGACGAUCAGUAGGGGUUCUGAGAGGGAAGGCCCCCCCACAUUGGAACUGAGACACGGUCCAAACUCCUACGGGAGGCAGCAGUGAGGAAUAUUGGUCAAUGGACGAGAGUCUGAACCAGCCAAGUAGCGUGCAGGAUGACGGCCCUAUGGGUUGUAAACUGCUUUUAUAAGGGAUAAAGUGAGUCUCGUGAGACUUUUUGCAUGUACCUUAUGAAUAAGGACCGGCUAAUUCCGUGCCAGCAGCCG
rnacentral:rRNA from 1 species